GAAGCAGCCACUCAUUCAAAGAGUGCGUAAUAGCUCACUGGUCGAGUGAUUUUGCGCCGAAAAUUUAACGGGGCUAAACUGUACACCGAAGCUUGGGAAUAUACCUCUGGUAUGUUGGUAGGAGAGCGUCGUAUGCGGGGUGAAGUCGUAGCGAAAGCGGCGGUGGACUGCAUAGGAGUGAGAAUGCCGGAAUGAGUAGCGAGAAUUAUGUGAGAAUCAUAAUGGCCGAAAGACUAAGGUUUUAGAAGGAAGGUUCGUCCGCUUCUAGUUAGCCGGGAGCUAAGGCGAGGCCGAAAGGCGUAGUCGAUGCACAUACGGUUGAGAUUCCGUAGCCACCUUAAAUUUAAACUAAGGGACACAUUGAAAGGGAAUAACCCAGGCGUUGGUUGACCUGGGCGUAAGGGAACGAAAAUAAGUAGUGAAGUAUUCUUGGACAGUGGCGAGAAAAGUUUAGUGUAUAUUAUUAGGGUGCCCGUACUGCAAACCGACACAGGUAGUCAGGAAGAGAAUUCUAAGGCCAUCGGGAGAAGCGUUGUUAAGGAACUCGGCAAAUUGACCCCGUAACUUCGGAAUAAGGGGUGCUCACGCGAGUGAGCCGCAGUGAAUAGGUCCAGGCAACUGUUUAUCAAAAACNCAGCUCUCUGCUAAAUCGUAAGAUGACGUAUAGGGGGUGACACCUGCCCGGUGCUGGAAGGUUAAGAGGAGGAGUGCAAGCCCCGAAUCGAAGCCCCAGUAAACGGCGGCCGUAACUAUAACGGUCCUAAGGUAGCGAAAUUCCUUGUCGGGUAAGUUCCGACCCGCACGAAUGGUGUAAUGAUCU
rnacentral:rRNA from 1 species